AUUGAACGCUGGCGGCAGGCCUAACACAUGCAAGUCGAGCGAGCGGCGGACGGGUGAGUAAUGUAUGGGGACUGCCCGAUAGCGGGGGAUAACUACUGGAAACGGUGGCUAAUUCCGCAUCCUCUCGGAUAACCCAUAUGGGAUUAGCUAGUCGGUGGGGUAAAGGCUCACCUAGGCGACGAUCUCUCGCUGGUCUGAGAGGAUGAUCGGCCACACUGGGACGUAGACACGGCCCAGAGUCCUAGGGAGGCAGCAGGGGGGAAUAGUGGACAAGGGGCGCAAGCCUGAUGCAGCCAUGCCGCGUGUAUGAAGAAGGCCUUAGGGUUGUAAAGUACUUUCAGCGGGGAGGCGGUACCCGCAGAAGAAGCACCGGCUAACUCCGUGCCAGCAGCCGCGGUAAUAC
rnacentral:rRNA from 1 species